GGGGACCUUUGGGGCCCUAAUUCAGAAGCGAGCUAAUCGUUUCGCAACAUAGCGAUGGGGAAACUCAUCCUUUCUAAACGGAAGACAGAAA
rnacentral:ncRNA from 1 species